UUUUUUUUUUUUUUUUUUUUUUUUUUUUUUUGCUUUUUAGGGCUGCACAUGCAGCAUAUGGAUGUUCCCAGGCUAGGGGUCCAGUCAGAGCUGUAGCUGCUGGUGUACACCACAGCUUACUACCAACACCAGAUCCUUAACCCACUGAGCCAGGCAAGGGAGUGAACCUGCAUCCUCAUGGAUGCUAGUCAGAUCCGUUACAGCUGAGCCACAACGGGAACUCCUACCUUUAGUUCUAUUAAAGGAUAAACUGAACCAUAUUAAAAACCAAAGUUUACUUGAGCAAAAAUCAAUUCUAGUCAGGCAGCACCAAAUCAGAGUGGUUAGAGGAGCUCUUCUGACAAGAGCUAGGGGAAAGACUUACAUAAAAAAGAUGCAGAAGCAAAGAAACAAAAUUAUUCGGUUUUCUCAAAUUAUAGCUCAAAGCUGUUUGUGAUUGGUUGUCCUUAAUGUUUGUAUUUUGUAACCUUUAAGUAAUAUUUACACACUUUAUUUUGCUACUUAUUUCUCUUUAUUUUAUUUUAUUAUAUGCUCCCACGGCAUAUGGAGGUUCCCAGGCUAGGGGUCGAAUCGGAGCUGAUAAUAUGAGAAAAAGAAUAUAUAUACAUAUAUACAUACACAUAUAUAUAUAUGACUGGGUCGCUUUGCUGUACAGUAGAAAUUGACAGAACACUGUAAAUCAACUAUAAUGGAAAAAAUAAAAAUCACAUAAACUUAGAAGAAAGAAAGAAAAAAAGAAAGAGAGACAAAGAAAGAAAGGUCACUCUGAUCUCCCUCAUUACCUUUCUUUCCUGAAACAGGUCAUAAAAAGUGACCUGUGACAGGCACCCUCCAUCCUCAAGAAAGGAGUAUCCUCACCUUCAAAGACAAAGGGAUGCCAAGAAGAAAGAAGAUGCAUAGAAAACAAUCCUUGCUAAAUUUCCCCCAUUUAUACCUAAUUCUCCUUAACACAAGUCGAUGAAAAAUUAAUCAACCAUUGAUCUAAGAAAGAAAUGGAAAAUAUGAUUUGAGCCAAUCUGAGGAUUAUAACCUGGGAAAGCUAAUUGUUCAGAAAGUUCUGAGGACUGUUCUGCCUGUUAGAGGUCAAAAUACAGUUACAUAAGUUUUUGGGACAAUACGUCAUGGAUAAAUCAUCAAAUGACAUUGAUAGUUUACACAAUCCAGAUCUUCAUGUAAAAAGCAAGUAGUAGGUCAUCCUGACCCCUUACAAGAUUAAGAAGAAAUAUUAUCUCCUAAGAAGGUAUGGUUAAUACACACUAAAGGACAGGAUACCCAAAUGUGCAGAGAAAAAUUUUAUGUUUAAAUUUUUCUUAUCUUACCACAAAGUAUGAAUUUCAUUUCAUCACCUAUCAUAUUCCUCCAUGACCAUCCACUAUGUAUCAAACCUAGCAUAAAAUACUCAGGUAUAACUAUUUCUUUGGGUCUUCAUUUCCUCAUAAGGGGUCCCAUAAAACUUAAAUAAAUUUGUGUGCUUUUCUUCUGUUAAUCUGUCUCUGUUGUUUCAAUUUUCAGGCCCAGCCAAGGCUCCUAAAAAGUCAAGGAAAAUGUUUUCCUCCCCUACAUUAUAUCCAAAUGUUGCCAGUAGAAUCAAAAUCUAAUGUCAAGUAUAUAGUCCAGCAGGUACAAAUUGCAAGAGAUACUACCAGACCACACACACAUGAGUCAGGAAAAGAUGUUUUGGAAAAGACAGCAUGGAAGGUUAACCUUAGAACUACACUGGGAAAGGGCUGUUUUGGUAUUGUUAAACACAAAUAUUUCCUUAAACUCUGGAGCAAACAGUCAGUAUCAUGUGUACCCUGGGAAAAAAGUUCUUAUG
ensembl:lncRNA